rnacentral:rRNA from 1 species
GACGAACGCUGGCGGCGUGCCUAAUACAUGCAAGUCGAGCGGACCAAACAGGAGCUUGCUCUUGUUUGGUUAGUGGCGGACGGGUGAGUAACACGUGGGUAACCUGCCCGUAAGACCGGGAUAACUCCGGGAAACCGGAGCUAAUACCGGAUAACACCGAAGACCGCAUGGUCUUUGGUUGAAAGGCGGCUUCGGCUGCCACUUACGGAUGGGCCCGCGGCGCAUUAGCUAGUUGGUGAGGUAACGGCUCACCAAGGCGACGAUGCGUAGCCGGCCUGAGAGGGUGACCGGCCACACUGGGACUGAGACACGGCCCAGACUCCUACGGGAGGCAGCAGUAGGGAAUCUUCCGCAAUGGACGAAAGUCUGACGGAGCGACGCCGCGUGAGCGAAGAAGGUCUUCGGAUCGUAAAGCUCUGUUGUUAGGGAAGAAGAAGCGCCGUUCGAACAGGGCGGCGCGGUGACGGUACCUAACGAGAAAGCCCCGGCUAACUACGUG